GGAGUUUGAACCUGGCUCAGGAUGAACGCUGGCGGCGUGCCUAACACAUGCAAGUCGAACGGAUCCAUACUGAAACCUAGUGAUGUAUGGAUUAGUGGCGGACGGGUGAGUAACGCGUGGAUAACCUGCCGUAUACAGGGGGAUAACACUUAGAAAUAGGUGCUAAUACCGCAUAAGCGCACGGUUCCGCAUGGAACAGUGUGAAAAACUCCGGUGGUAUACGAUGGAUCCGCGUCUGAUUAGCCAGUUGGUGGGGUAACGGCCCACCAAAGCGACGAUCAGUAGCCGGCCUGAGAGGGUGAACGGCCACAUUGGGACUGAGACACGGCCCAAACUCCUACGGGAGGCAGCAGUGGGGAAUAUUGCACAAUGGGGGAAACCCUGAUGCAGCGACGCCGCGUGAGUGAAGAAGUAUUUCGGUACGUAAAGCUCUAUCAGCAGGGAAGAAAAAAAGUCCUUUGGACUUUGGACGGUACCUGACCAAGAAGCCCC
rnacentral:rRNA from 1 species